AUUGAACGCUGGCGGCAUGCCUUACACAUGCAAGUCGAACGGUAACAGGUCUUCGGAUGCUGACGAGUGGCGAACGGGUGAGUAAUACAUCGGAACGUGCCCGAUCGUGGGGGAUAACGAAGCGAAAGCUUUGCUAAUACCGCAUACGAUCUACGGAUGAAAGCAGGGGACCGCAAGGCCUUGCGCGAACGGAGCGGCCGAUGGCAGAUUAGGUAGUUGGUGGGAUAAAAGCUUACCAAGCCGACGAUCUGUAGCUGGUCUGAGAGGACGACCAGCCACACUGGGACUGAGGCACGGCCCAGACUCCUACGGGAGGCAGCAGUGGGGAAUUGUGGACAAUGGGCGAAAGCCUGAUCCAGCCAUGCCGCGUGCAGGAUGAAGGCCUUCGGGUUGUAAACUGCUUUUGUACGGAACGAAAAGACUCUGGUUAAUACCUGGGGUCCAUGACGGUACCGUAAGAAUAAGCACCGGCUAACUACGUGCCAGCAGCCGCCGUAACAC
rnacentral:rRNA from 1 species